rnacentral:rRNA from 1 species
AACUUUCAACAACGGAUCUCUUGGCUCACGCAUCGAUGAAGAACGCGGCGAAAUGCGAUAAGUAAUGUGAAUUGCAGAAUUCAGUGAAUCAUCGAAUCUUUGAACGCACCUUGCGCUCUCUGGUAUUCCGGAGAGCAUGCCUGUUUGAGUGUCA